AGUGAGUCAGAGCAGCGGCACAUGCCCCAGUGUGUGAGCUCAGAGCUCAGUGCUCAACCCAUCACUCGACUAAAGAACAGAUUUCAUGACCUCGACCAUGGCCCUCCAGGCGGUUCUAGGCAGGUCCCAGCAAAAAAGUACUGGGGUAGAAACCAAGGACCAGGCCCACAGAAACAGGGACCCCAGGGGCUUGCAAGGGGGAGUGCUGACUGCCAGGCUGCCCCAUACUUGUUGGCUUGGCAGGCUUUUCAAAAUGCAGGUAUCUCUGGAGCUGUUUUGUGGACACCAGGAGCAUUACUUGACAAGCCCUGUGCUGGCCCCAAGGUACCCUGUGCACCUGGGUAAGGAUGGAACACAUUGGGAACAGGGACCCAACACGCCCACUCCGGAACAGCGUGGGACCUGGGGAAAUCGCCAGUUGUUUGCUGUCCUGCCAUUGCUGUUCUGCACAUCCCUGGAGACUAUGAGCAUCGGUUACAGUGUGGUAGUGGCUGGUCAGGUGGCCACCCACCAAGGGUCAGAUGCCACAUCAGCCCGAGCGAAGCUGCCAGACACUGGCUGUUCCAAUGACAAUUAGACAUUCUUGAGAAGGUGGAGCCAUUUGUGAGAGCUCAAGAUGGGUGUCCUGGAAGUGCCACUUAAAGGCGACUGAGGCCUCUCAAAAUCCCUCUGUUAGAGCUGCAGCUCUCCAUGUGGGAUGCAGUGCAGUCACCUAUGGAGCUUUAGGACAGGCCCAGGGCUCAGCUCCCCAGACCAGUGCCUUCACAACUUUCGCAGCAGGGAUAGCCGGCUUGGAAAGGCAUGCCUGGGAGACCA
rnacentral:lncRNA from 1 species